AUGACAAUCAACAAAGCCCAGGGUCAAACCAUCCCAAAUGUUGGCAUAUAUCUUCCUGCGCCGGUGUUUUCUCAUGGACAACUCUAUGUUGCUUUGUCUAGAGGGACAUCAAGACAUACACAAAAAUAA
rnacentral:rRNA from 1 species